UACGGAGGAUGCGAGCGUUAUCCGGAUUUAUUGGGUUUAAAGGGUGCGUAGGCGGAUUUUUAAGUCAGCGGUAAAAUGUCCGGGCUCAACCCGGGCCGGCCGUUGAAACUGGGGACCUUGAGUGGGCGAGAAGUAUGCGGAAUGCGUGGUGUAGCGGUGAAAUGCAUAGAUAUCACGCAGAACUCCGAUUGCGAAGGCAGCAUACCGGCGCCCGACUGACGCUGAGGCACGAAAGCGUGGGGAUCGAACAGG
rnacentral:rRNA from 1 species